rnacentral:lncRNA from 1 species
GCGUAACUGCAGCAGGGAGCGAGGCCGGGCAGGAAGCUAGGCACCAGCCCAGAGAGAGACGCAGCAGCAGCAAAGGUGGGGACAAGCGGUGGGAUCAUGGGUUUUGUUGUUGGGCUGAGCGGACGCCCUCUGGAGCGAAGAUGCAAAGGGAGAGAAAUGAAGAAAGACGAGAAGGACCCGAGGUGUGUGGCCCGAGCGACUGCAGGGAGAGACCCCCAAGAUCUAGAAGACUGUGGGAGCUGGUGCUGGGGGAGCCAGGAGGUCAGACCGGGAAGGAAGUCCUGCCAGAUGUCAAGCAGGCGGCCGGAUCUCGGAGAUGUCAACGUGAGCAUGGUCAGUGCAGAGCAAAUGUAUCAAAGCCCUGACCUUGGACGAGACCACCAAGGACAGCAAAGACAGAGGAACUGACAGCCACGGGCUGGCGCUGGGCUGAGGGCCCUGGCUCUGCACUGGGCUGCGAGGAGGAGAUCCGAUUUCCGUCCUCAGGGAGCUGGCAUCUCGCGCACAGAUCCGGGGGCUGGACGCCGAGGAGGCUGCUGAGUCCGAGCCGGACAGGCCUGGGCUUCAACCUCCCACUCCCCUGGCACCUUUACCUGCUGCGCGACUGUCUUUGGGCCCCAGUGUCCUCCUCCAUGACACUGCAGAGGAGCUGCCGAGAGCAGAGACGUGCCUGGCACAGCGGGGAGCCGGUGGCCUGCACUAGUCAGGGCUGCUCACGCAGGCCCCCAAGCCCCAGCUCCGCAGCCGCCUGUGCCAUAGUGUCCCUCGCCUCCCUCGCCCAGGGCCCAGGCUUCCUCCAUGGCAGCUGGUGCCUCUGUGGGCCGAGGACGUCUGGAGGCAAGGUCAAGGCCACUCUGUCCCUUGGAGUAAUUGAAGAUGACAACAGUAUUUUGUGUCUCAUGGAGACGGGUGGAGAUCAAAGUGGCUUUGUGCCGCCACUGCGACAGGCAGGAAUUCCCCGGCAAAUGCCACCAAUGACCGAAAAUUGGCUGCAGUUGUGGCCGGGAGAGGGCCACUUCUGACACGGGUGUGAGGUGGCCCACGGCAGGACUGGCGGGAGGGCAGAGAAUGCCAAGGGGCUACACUUAUCACGAUAGAGACUUCAGGCCGACUUCUGGCCCCGAGACAAGCGGAGGGGAGUCUGGGAAAUGUCUCUGGGAACAAAGACGCAGAGGGCCUUGAAAACCACGAAGGCGGAGACCAGCAGGUACUCACCGUGGCACAAGGGCUCCGCGUCACACCGGCCACAGCCAGGUCUUGGCAGAGGUGCCCAUCUGGACGCCGCUCAGAGGCCACCACCCUAAUCGAUGUGUCAGGGGGAGGCCCUCGUUUUGGGGAAGGGAACAAAGCAAAGGGGACUUUGGCAGGAAGCAGGACCCGGAGCCAAGCUCAAGUGCCCUGCUGGUGUCUGGAGCCUGGCGGUGACCCCAGAGUGACAUGGGCUGCCAUGAGACCCCCAGCAGACACCAGGACCCCCAGCCGGGCCUCUGUUCCCUCACACCCCUCAAGUCUGUGCAGGAGGGAUGGGAAGGAACUGGCCCCUCACAGACCGUGGGAUCCAGUCAAUAUGGCACCUAAUUAAGUAAACAAGGAGCUGGCUUCAGGAACUCCUCUGCCUUUGCUUUAAAAAAAUAUGUGAUGGAUUGAAGGCUAAAAUAGCAAGAGUAGUUUGCUGACAGGAAAAUCAAGUUAUCCCAUUAGUGACAUCCAAAGAAGGCGCGUGGUCCCACACAGCUUCUGUACUGAGCCUCUGCGGGAUGGAUUCCAAGCUCAGCUUCAACACAGGGACUCCACGCGGGCGCCACAGCCAGUGUGUUCUCGUCACCAGGCCUUUGCUGAUGCCCACAGCCCACUCAGAAGGCUCUGCCUGUGGCAGGCCACCCCCAGGCCAGUCCUGUGGCACCGUGGGACCAGCUCAGGCCUGCGAGCCUGGUGAUGUAGAUCCUCAUCUUGACUCUGCCCCUCAUCAGCGUGAUGACCCUAGGCAAUCACUUCCUGGGUCAGAGUUUGGUGGGUGUGUGCCACGGAAACGGAUCUGGUUAACUUACCAGGGAGGGGCAGGCCCAAGAGCGUCUCAGAUGGAGCAGGCUCCGAAGGCAGGAUAAGGCUGCCUGGCACAGGGUCCUGCAGGAGGGUCUUCCACUCCUUCUACAUCCUUGUCGGGGACCAAUCAGCCUCUGCCCUUGUUGGUGCUUCUGUUCCUCUGCUAGAGAUGGAGCCUCUGGGGAUGGAGGGAGAGCCUUUGAUAAGCUGAGCUGGGUCCCAGAUUCACCUCUUGGCUCUUGGAUUGACAGUCCCACCAGUUAAACUAAAGAAGAGGCCAUUCCUCCAAUCAAAGUCAGGAUUCUUGUUUCAGAGGAGUGGGGAUCGGUGUCAAGCAGGAAAAGUCAAGAUGCUUUCCUUCUGUGGGGACUCAGUCUCCUCUGUGGAGUGGAGACAAUGAUCUGUAUCAUGGUGCGGAUCUGGGGCCAGUGUGUGCCUGUCUAAGGGCAGAAGGUCCCGCCUGUAAGGUGUCCCUCGUGCAGUGAGAGCCUCCCUUGGGUCCAGGACUGUGUGGUCCUGAAGUUGGAACCGGACAAGGACUAGAUGUCUGAGGCUGCUGGUCUGAGCCCAGAGGUGUUCCCUUCCCCAAGGGAAGAGGGGCGACUUGUGGGCGUUGGUUGUCAUUUAGUCCCCACUGGUGCUCUUGGGAGCAACACCUUAGGAAAGCUAAAAUUUUCCACUGUUGUGGGCACCAGGGGGUCAACUCAGUUCACGGGCUGAAGUCCAAUCCCAGCAAGCAGAGUCCUCUGGGGCCACCAGCCCUCCGUGGGGCCCUGUGGAAUUCCUCAGGUGCCUUACGCUCUCCAGGUCCUACACAUGGUCUGCUUUGUCUCUGAGUUGAAUUACUUGGAUUCACUUGAAGUCAUUUGGGGGUGAACAAGACACCAGAGGCUGGGACAUGGCCUCCCUCCUGCUCUUCCAGAGAAGUAUGAGGAUUUAAUUUUUGCUUUUCUUUAAAAAUAAUGGUUCUGAAGGCCACGGGACGUGUACAAUCAAAGGGAAAUCACAGGCAGCAUGAGCAGAGCGCUAGGUUCCCAGAGGCCCAUCGGCCACCUGCAGGAAGCAGAUCUUCUCACCGGCAGCUGCUGCCAGAAACCCUUACGGGCUGAGGAACGACGUGGAGGAGAAUUAGCAAGACCCCUGCCUCCUCGCCUGGGAUCCGUCACUCUAUUUAGCAGCAUUUAAGAAACAAUCCCCGGUCAUUGCUGAUUAGGAGGGACAUGGAUUUUAAUGGGGAGUGUGACCAAGCUGUGGCCACAUGGCCUGGCUGGAAGAGGUCGCCCUUUCUCAGGACAUCUGCAGCUGGGAGUCAGCCUUUGCUGCUGAGUGGUGACCUCUGUCCCUCCACAGAGCCUGGGGUGGUGCUGGCAAAGGCACCCUGCGUAGGAGGAGCCCAUUAGUAUGGGAUUGUGGUCAGGAAAGGGGCUCUAGAUUUUUCUGGAACUGAGGCCCUAAACACUAAAACCUUGGGGUAUAUGAUGAACCACAGAGUCCCCUCGCGUGAUGUGCUCCCGUGUGCUAGUCACAAGUGUGCAUCUUCAGUAACGGAGCAAGCGUGGGUGCGUGCAAAUCGCUAGCUGUAAAAGCAAAGUGGGACCUUUGGUGGAGGUCCACUCUUCCAUGGUGGCGAGGUCUGCGCCGACUUCCUUACCAAAGACCUGCUGCUGCUGCUGCUGCUGCUGGGUAGGAAGAGGGACUCGCACAUGUGCACGGGUGGGGUGACCCGGCAUGGCCUCGUGUGCAAAGCUGGCAUCUGCAACUUGGGCACGUCAGGUGGCCUCUCCUGCAGCUCACUUGGGCUCUUCACCUGAUGGUCUCAGAAUCCCAAAAGCCACCAAAGUGGACAGAAGUCUGCAUGCACAAGGGCUUUUUAGGCCCCCAUAUGUGUCCCUUUUGCUAAUGUCCACUGGCUGAAGUAAGUCAUGUGGCCAAGAGAGAACCACAGCCCCUGCCCUUCUCCCCACGGCGCGUACCCCACUGUGGUGGGUGGAUUCCAUGCUGAACUGUCCUUAUCUUUCUCUCCUGCUUCCCCGGACACUGCGUAUGUGUGGACCGGUGUGGGCUCACCCGUGCCCAGCACAGUGCCUGGUACCAGCGGGUGCUGAUGAGCAUUGGUGAGGGAGGUCAGGAGAGGAGAGGAAAGAAUGAACCCGGGGAGAGGGAGGGA